GUAGGGUGCAAGCGUUGUCCGGAAUUAUUGGGCGUAAAGAGCUCGUAGGCGGUUUGUCGCGUCGGAUGUGAAAUCCCAUGGCUUAACUGUGGGCCUGCAUUCGAUACGGGCAGACUAGAGUUCGGUAGGGGAGACUGGAAUUCCUGGUGUAGCGGUGAAAUGCGCAGAUAUCAGGAGGAACACCGGUGGCGAAGGCGGGUCUCUGGGCCGAUACUGACGCUGAGGAGCGAAAGCGUGGGGAGCGAACAGGAUUAGAUACCCUGGUAGUCCACGCCGUAAACGUUGGGCGCUAGGUGUGGGGAACCUUCCACGUUCUCCGAGCCGUAGCUAACGCAUUAAGCGCUCCGCCUGGGGAGUACGGCCGCAAGGCUA
rnacentral:rRNA from 1 species